rnacentral:lncRNA from 1 species
UCACGGAAAAGUGAUUGGGGCAAGUGAUCUGCCCAAAUCACUGCCCCAAUCACACUGACAGCAAAAACAGACAGCAGAGGCGGGAAAAGUGCAGGGAAUCGAAAUUCGAAUUUUGAGAAGCCCAAAUCCAACUCAAUCACUGCCAACACAAUUCCAAGAGCCACGAAAGAGUUUCUCACCUAAGGAAUUCCAUUUGCAAUUAAAUUCAACAUCAAAAGAGGAAACAAAAACCAAAUCAAAAAGGGAUUUCAAAACCCUAGAUGGAUGGGAUUCUUCAGCUAUAAAAGAGCAACCUCCAAACCAGCAAAGGG